GGCUGGAUAGCUCAGUCGGUAGAGCACUGGAAUGGUAAUCCGGAGGUCGCAGGUUCAAACCCCACUUCAGCCA
rnacentral:tRNA from 1 species